rnacentral:lncRNA from 1 species
GGUACAGAGUCAGUGUGGAGGUUAUAUACAGGGGGUACCGGUACAGAGUCAGUGUGGAGGUUAUAUACAGGGGGUACCGGUACAGAGUCAGUGUGGAGGUUAUAUACAGGGGGUACCGGUACAGAGUCAGUGUGGAGGCUAUAUACAGGGGGUACAGGUACCGAGUCAGUGUGGAGGUUAUAUACAGGGGGUACAGGUACAGAGUCAGUGUGGAGGUUAUAUACAGGGGGUACCGGUACAGAGUCAGUGUGGAGGUUAUAUACAGGGGGUACCGGUACAGAGUCAGUGUGGAGGCUAUAUACAGGGGGUACCGGUACCGAGUCAGUGUGGAGGCUAUAUACAGGGUGUACCGGUACAGAGUCAAUGUGGAGGCUAUAUACAGGGGGUACCGGUACAGACUCAAUGUGGAG